GAAGUUGUAGCUCAGCUGGAUAGAGCAUCAGAUUGCGGAUCUGAAGGUCUCACGUUCGAAUCGUGUCAGCUUCA
rnacentral:tRNA from 1 species